rnacentral:rRNA from 1 species
UACAGAGGUCUCAAGCGUUGUUCGGAUUCAUUGGGCGUAAAGGGUGCGUAGGCGGCGCGGUAAGUCGGGUGUGAAAUCUCGGGGCUUAACUCGGAAAGGUCAACUGAUACUGUGCGACUAGAGUGCGGAAGGGGCAACUGGAAUUCUCGGUGUAGCGGUGAAAUGCGCAGAUAUCAGGAGGAACACCAAUGGCGAAGGCAGCACUCUGGGACGGUACUGACGCUGAGACGCGAAAGCGUGGGGAGCAAACAGG